AUGCCUUGCCGGAAAUCAGGGAUUCUCAGGGAUGGAAGUGAGACAAAAUACCUUCCACCUCUCAGAAUCCCUAUUUUCUUUCAAGGCCC
ensembl:miRNA mdo-mir-1546 mdo-mir-1546